rnacentral:rRNA from 1 species
UACGGGGGGUGCGAGCGUUGUCCGGAAUCACUGGGCGUAAAGGGCGCGUAGGUGGUUUGAUAAGGGUGUGGUGAAAGUCCGGGGCUCAACCCCGGAUCUGCCGUGCCGACUGUCAACUCGAGGACUGUAGAGGCAGACGGAAUUCCGGGUGUAGGCGGUGGAAUGCGUAGAGAUCCGGAGGAAGACCGGUGGCGAAGGCGGCCUGCUGGGCAGUUUCUGACACUGAGGCGCGACAGCGUGGGGAGCAAACAGGG